CUACAUGCAGUCGAGCGAUAUCUUUGGGAGCUUGCUCCCGAAGGUAUAGCGGCGGACGGGUGAGUAACACGUGGGCAACCUACCUUUAAGACUGGGAUAACUUCGGGAAACCGGAGCUAAUACCGGAUAAAUCUUUUCUACUCAUGUAGGAAAGCUGAAAGAUGGCUUAGGCUAUCACUUAUAGAUGGGCCCGCGGCGCAUUAGCUAGUUGGUGGGGUAACGGCUCACCAAGGCAACGAUGCGUAGCCGACCUGAGAGGGUGAUCGGCCACACUGGGACUGAGACACGGCCCAGACUCCUACGGGAGGCAGCAGUAGGGAAUCUUCCGCAAUGGACGAAAGUCUGACGGAGCAACGCCGCGUGAGUGAUGAAGGUUCUCGGAUCGUAAAACUCUGUUGUUAGGGAAGAAACAGUACCGUUCGAAUAGGGCGGUACCUUGACGGUACCUAAUUAGAAAGCCACGGCUAACUACGUGCCAGCAGCCGCGGUAAUACGUAGGUGGCAAGCGUUGUCCGGAAUUAUUGGGCGUAAAGCGCGCGCAGGUGGUUCCUUAAGUCUGAUGUGAAAGCCCCCGGCUCAACCGGGGAGGGUCAUUGGAAACUGGGGAACUUGAGUGCAGAAGAGGAAAGUGGAAUUCCACGUGUAGCGGUGAAAUGCGUAGAGAUGUGGAGGAACACCAGUGGCGAAAGGCGACUUUCUGGGUCUGUAACUGACACUGAGGCGCGAAACGUGGGAAGCGAAACAAGGAUUACAUACC
rnacentral:rRNA from 1 species